UGCGUGCUUUCAAAAUGCCCCUAACCGGCGAGGAUACCAGCAGUGAUUUUGCUCAUCAAGACAAGCAAAAAUUGAUAAAUGUGAGAAGAUACAUCAAAGGCCGCAUAUCACUUGUGGAAAAUGAGCUGGGGGACAUUUCUACCGUAAAAUCCACCGCCAUGUUGGAUGUUGCCGCCGAACGAAUUAGCAGUCUUUUUACGAGAUUGGAGGACGUCAAUCUCAAUUUGGAAUCGAUGGAUACUUCAGAGACCGCUGAGGGAUCGAAAAUCGAGUCAAGGUGUCAAAGAAUACUAACUGACAUUCGUGAACGUCGUGAGGCGCUGAAGCAUCAUUGUAACUCAUCGGCGAGUGACUCCGGAUCGACGCAAGAGCACCAGCAUAAACCGAAUCUUCCCAAGAUAUCGUUGCCCAAGUUCAGUGGAAGUUAUGGAGACUGGCUGUCGUUCAAGGAUUUAUACGUCACUAUGGUACACGGAAAUGAAGAUUUAAGUCCCGUGCAGAAGUUCUAUUACUUGAAGUCGUGUUUGGUCGGCGAAGCUGCCUCUUUGGUUACGACUUUGGAAUGUACGAACGAAAACUACGUGAAGGCAUGGUCUGCGAUUACAUCAAGAUAUGACAAUAAGCAGCGCUGCCAAGCAUUAGAUAUGCUAUGCCGUGAUGAAGCAGUGAGCACUACAAAGGUCGUGCCUCCGGCAAAGAGCACUAGUCAUGUGACUGUUGGCAGCGGCAGAAGUGCAAAUGGAGAAAAGGUGCGAACAGAGCUACCUUGAUUCUGUGUCCAGGGAUGAAGAAGGAAGGUAUCAUGUCGAUUUGCCAAUAAACAAAGAACUUCUACCAAAACUAGGUAAUUCUUACAAUGUUGCUUUUCGUUGUCUUAUGUCAUUGGAGAAAAAAUUCCAAAAUAAUUCUGACUUUUUUAAGGCCUAUAAAGCAUUUAUUGAGGAAUUUCUUAAACUUGGCCAUGCUCACUUUGUUCAUAUAAAUCCACACAAAAGUGAUGAAAUUGAAUAUUACAUGCCUCAUCAUGCUGUCUUGAAGGAAAGUUCCUCUACUACCAAGCUUAGGAUUGUAUUCAAUGGUUCUCAACCCACUUCUACGGGCUUGAGCUUAAAUGAUGUACUUCUUGUGGGUCCUGUUGUUCAACCUGACAUGUUUACCAUACUUCUGAGAUUUCGUACCUAUGUUUAUGUUUUUGUGUCUGAUAUAACUAAAAUGUACAGGCAAAUUCGAGUGAAACCUCAGUAUCAAGCACUUCAGCGCAUCCUGUGGAGAGAUGAUCCAUCGCAUGAUAUACAGUGUCUUCAGCUGGAUACUGUUACAUAUGGAACAGCAUCAGCCAGUUACCUUGCUACACGGACAUUGGUGAAAUUGGUUGAGGAUGAAGGUGAUAAUUUUCCAUCUGCUUCUAAGGCAUUACUUCAAAGUACCUUCGUUGAUGACAUUUUGCAUGGCGAGAAUGAUCUUUCUUCUGCAUUAAAUACCAUAAAUGAGUUGCAAGAGUUGUUAGCUAAAGGAAGGUUUGAAUUGCACAAAUGGUACUCUAAUAGCUCAAUGUUAAUGUCGCAAUUUCCUCCUGAAAAACUUGAAAAAUGUCAUGUUUCCUUUGACAAUAAGGAAGGUUCUUGUAUUAAAACGCUAGGUUUGAAGUGGGAGCCAAACUCAGAUAAAUUUCAGGUCGAGGUACCUAAAUAUACUUCCACUAGUCAUACUAAAAGAAAUAUUUUGUCUGAUAUUGCUAAGGUCUAUGAUCCCUUGGGUUUUAUUGCUCCAGUUACAGUCUAUGCUAAGUUGAUAAUGCAAGAUAUCUGGAAGGCAAACGUUGACUGGGAUUCUGAGGUGCCUGACGCUAUUUUAUCUAAAUGGAAUUUUUUUUG